rnacentral:rRNA from 1 species
UACGUAGGGUGCGAGCGUUGUCCGGAAUUAUUGGGCGUAAAGAGCUCGUAGGCGGUGUGUCGCGUCGGCCGUGAAAACCUGGGGCUUAACUCUGGGCGUGCGGUCGAUACGGGCAUCACUGGAGUUCGGCAGGGGAGACUGGAAUUCCUGGUGUAGCGGUGAAAUGCGUAGAUAUCUGGAGGAACACCGGUGGCGAAGGCGGCAUCCUGGACCAACACUGACACUGAGGAGCGAAAGCCAGGGGAGCAAACGGG